rnacentral:rRNA from 1 species
AGUGAACGCUGGCGGUAGGCCUAACACAUGCAAGUCGAACGGCAGCACAGUAAGAGCUUGCUCUUACGGGUGGCGAGUGGCGGACGGGUGAGGAAUACAUCGGAAUCUACUUUUUCGUGGGGGAUAACGUAGGGAAACUUACGCUAAUACCGCAUACGACCUACGGGUGAAAGCAGGGGAUCUUCGGACCUUGCGCGAUUGAAUGAGCCGAUGUGGGAUUAGCUAGUUGGCGGGGUAAAGGCCCACCAAGGCGACGAUCCGUAGCUGGUCUGAGAGGAUGGUCAGCCACACUGGAACUGAGACACGGUCCAGACUCCUACGGGAGGCAGCAGUGGGGAAUAUUGGACAAUGGGCGCAAGCCUGAUCCAGCCAUACCGCGUGUGUGAAGAAGGCCUUCGGGUUGUAAAGCCCUUUUGUUGGGAAAGAAAAGCAGCAGGUUAAUACCCCGCUGUUCUGACGGUACCCAAAGAAUAAGCACCGGCUAACUUCGUG